AUUGAACGCUGGCGGAAUGCUUUACACAUGCAAGUCGAACGGCAGCACGGGGGCAACCCUGGUGGCGAGUGGCGAACGGGUGAGUAAUACAUCGGAACGUGCCCGGUCGUGGGGGAUAACGUAGCGUAAGUUACGCUAAUACCGCAUACGAUCUGAGGAUGAAAGCGGGGGACCUUCGGGCCUCGCGCGAUCGGAGCGGCCGAUGUCAGAUUAGGUAGUUGGUGGGGUAAAGGCCUACCAAGCCGACGAUCUGUAGCUGGUCUGAGAGGACGACCAGCCACACUGGGACUGAGACACGGCCCAGACUCCUACGGGAGGCAGCAGUGGGGAAUUUUGGACAAUGGGCGCAAGCCUGAUCCAGCCAUUCCGCGUGCAGGACGAAGGCCUUCGGGUUGUAAACUGCUUUUGUAUGGAACGAAAAGGCUCUGGCUAAUACCUGGGGCCCAUGACGGUACCGUAAGAAUAAGCACCGGCUAACUACGUG
rnacentral:rRNA from 1 species